rnacentral:tRNA from 1 species
UCCGUUGCCGUCCAGCGGUUAGGAUACCUGGCUUUCACCCAGGCGACCCGGGUUCGAUUGGCGGCAACGGAG